rnacentral:rRNA from 1 species
UACGGAGGAUGCAAGCGUUAUCCGGAAUGAUUGGCGUAAAGCGUCCGCAGGUGGCAGUGUAAGUCUGCUGUUAAAGAGUCUAGCUACAACUAGAUACGAAGCAGUGGAAACGUACAUAGCUAGAGUACGUUCGGGGCAGAGGGAAUUCCUGGUGUAGCGGUGAAAUGCGUAGAGAUCAGGAAGAACACCGGUGGCGAAGGCGCUCUGCUAGCCGUAACUGACACUGAGGGAC